AGUGAACGCUGGCGGUAGGCCUAACACAUGCAAGUCGAACGGCAGCACAGUAAGAGCUUGCUCUUACGGGUGGCGAGUGGCGGACGGGUGAGGAAUACAUCGGAAUCUACUUUUUCGUGGGGGAUAACGUAGGGAAACUUACGCUAAUACCGCAUACGACCUACGGGUGAAAGCAGGGGAUCUUCGGACCUUGCGCGAUUGAAUGAGCCGAUGUCGGAUUAGCUAGUUGGCGGGGUAAAGGCCCACCAAGGCGACGAUCCGUAGCUGGUCUGAGAGGAUGAUCAGCCACACUGGAACUGAGACACGGACCAGACUCCUACGGGAGGCAGCAGUGGGGAAUAUUGAACAAUGGGCGCAAGCCUGAGCCAGCCAUACCGCGUGGGUGAAGAAGGCCUUCGGGUUGUAAAGCCCUUUUGUGGGGAAAGAAAAGCAGCAGGUUAAUACCCCGCUGUUCGGACGGUACCCAAAGAAUAAGCACCGGCUAACUUCGU
rnacentral:rRNA from 1 species